rnacentral:rRNA from 1 species
CACGUAGGGCGCAAGCGUUGUCCGGAAUUAUUGGGCGUAAAGAGCUCGUAGGCGGUCUGUUGCGUCCGCUGUGAAAACUCGGGGCUUAACCCCGAGCCUGCAGUGGAUACGGGCAGACUAGAGGUAGGUAGGGGAGAAUGGAAUUCCCGGUGUAGCGGUGAAAUGCGCAGAUAUCGGGGAGGAACACCCGGUGGCGAAGGCGGCCACCUCGGCGG